CCUACGGGUGGCUGCAGUGGGGAAUAUUGCACAAUGGCGGAAACCCUGAUGCAGCGACGCCGCGUGAGUGAAGAAGUAAUUCGUUAUGUAAAGCUCUAUCAGCCGGGAAGCAAAUGACGGUACCUGAGUCCGACUCCCCGUCUAACUACGUCCAAGCAGCCGCGGCACCACGGCGGGGGCAAGCGUUAUCCGGAUUUACUGGGUGUAAAGGGAGCGUAGACGGCAGUGCAAGUCUGGAGUUAAAGUCUGGGGCUCAACCCCCGGACUGCUCUGGAAACUGUACGGCGGGAGUGCAGGAGAGGUAAGUGGAAUUCCUAGUGUAGCGGUGAAAUGCGGAGAUAUUAGGCGGAACACCAGUGGCGAAGGCGGCUUACUGGACUGUAACUGACGUUGAGGCUCGAAAGCGUGGGGAGCAAACAGGAUUAGAUACCCUUGUAGUC
rnacentral:rRNA from 1 species